AGGACAGGGCCAGGCGGGCCCAGCGCGCCCAGGUCCCGGCGCUGAGUCUCCCUUCUCCAGCCUUCCUUCGCUCUGCGGGCUAAAGUGCCACCGCGCCGGCCGACCGCCACAUCCGCCAGCCACAGGGACAGCAAGAGAUAGAAUGAUGUGAGAGACUGGACUGUGUAGUACCUGAGAGGAGCUGCCAGUAGGAGACUGAAGGGACUUUCGAGAUGGCCAAAGAGGAUUGCCCAAGCACUUCCCGGGAUUUACAGGAACUGCAGAAGAAGCUGUCUUUGCUGGUAAAGUCCUUCCAAAAUAACUCAAAGGUGGUUGCCUUCAUGGAGUCCCCAGUGGGUCAGUACCUGGACAGACAUCCUUUCCUGGCCCUCACUGUGCUGGUGUUUGUCACUAUGUCAGCCAUUCCCGUUGGGUGCUUCCUGCUCUUCGUGGUGCUCACCUCAGUGCUUGCUGUCCUCGGAGUCAUAUUACUGGAAGGGUUGGUCAUCUCUGUGGGGGGCCUCACCCUGCUUUGCGUCCUCUGUGGUGUGGGCUUUGUAUCACUCGCCCUUUCUGGAACGAUCCUAGUGAGCUACGUGGUGGCCUCCAGCUUCAUCAACUACUGGUUUUCUCCCAGACCCCUGACACAGCAAAACCCCAGCGUCACCUGUCAGUUGUCCCCAGACUUCGAGGAGCUGCACCGGGAAUGAUGAGCCUCCUGAAACCAGAGGUUGUUUCUCCUCCUCUCAGGAAAACUGUCAGAAGGCGAGAAGCUAUAUUUUCACUCACUGAAAGAAGAAAUGGAAGGAAAACUACAAAACAGAACCAGCUCUCCUGCCUUACUUGUGUUGUUUGUUUUUUCCAUCAGAAAGAACGGCAACAUUUGGGGAUAGUGGCAUCUCAAGAUUGCGAGAAUCCUCUAACUGCGUGGCCCAGAGUCUUUUUGAAAAAGCCUAAAGGCAUUAUUUCCACUGUAACUGUUGUGUGCCAUUACCUCUUACUUCUCUUCCACAUAUUUGUACUUGAUACUUUCAAGUUUAAAGAAUUGACUUGUUAAGUCAUUUCUUUUUUAAAAAAAAUGCUACAAGACUACAUACAAAGCCAAAUAAAAUACCCCAUGUGAUUUCUAC